GUUUGUACAAAUUAUUUUAAAGUAGCAAAGCAAGGUCGAAGAAGAAAUCUAAAAUCCAAAUUAAUACUUCUGAAACUUUGUGGAAAUCGCUGUUUUAAACUAAUUAUAUUUAUAAAUUUCUUCUUUGCGUAAUCAUCGACUAGAAAUGUCAGCCUCAGCUGAAAUGAAGAGACUACCAAAACCUCAAAUGCGGGGUUUAUUGAAAGCAUAUAUUUCAAAGCAUUUGGCAAUUGCUACAGUUCUUGGAUUCGCUGGAUCCAUGGCAUGGAAAUUCCUAGUCGCAGAUCCUCGAAAACGUGCUUACGCUGAAUUUUACAAAACUUAUGAUGGUGAUAAAGAUUAUGAAAGAAUGAAAAAUCUAGGAAUUCUGCCGCCCUUUCCUCAAUUUGAAAAGGAAGAAGAAUAAUUUACUGUUAGAUUUACAUCUUUAUUCACUGGCACUGCUGUAACCAAGAUAAAUUAUUCUCAUUCGUCUGUUUUGUAAAAUAUGUAUUCAGUUAUUAAAUAAAGUACUGGAAUUCCUUACUUAAA